GAUGAACGCUAGCCACAGGCUUAACACAUGCAAGUCGAGGGGUAACGAGAGGAAAGCUUGCCUUCCUUGUCGACGACCGGCGCACGGGUGAGUAACGCGUAUCCAACCUGCCCCCAACUAGGGAAUAACCUUGCGAAAGUAAGACUAAUACCCUAUAAUUUCCUCAGAUGUCAUCUGACGAGGAAUAAAGAUUUAUCGGUUGUGGAUGGGGAUGCGUCUGAUUAGCUUGUUGGCGGGGUAAUGGCCCACCAAGGCAACGAUCAGUAGGGGUUCUGAGAGGAAGGUCCCCCACAUUGGAACUGAGACACGGUCCAAACUCCUACGGGAGGCAGCAGUGAGGAAUAUUGGUCAAUGGGCGGAAGCCUGAACCAGCCAAGUAGCGUGCAGGAUGACGGCCCUAUGGGUUGUAAACUGCUUUUAUACAGGAAUAAAGUUAGCCACGUGUGGUUAUUUGUAGGUACUGUAUGAAUAAGGACCGGCUAAUUCCGUGCCAGCCGCCGCGGUAA
rnacentral:rRNA from 1 species